rnacentral:rRNA from 1 species
AACGAACGCUGGCGGCAGGCCUAACACAUGCAAGCCGAGCGCCCCGCAAGGGGAGCGGCGGACGGGUGAGUAACGCGUGGGAACGUACCUUUUGCUUCGGAAUAGCCUCGGGAAACUAGGAGUAAUACCGAAUGUGCCCUACGGGGGAAAGAUUUAUCGGCAAAAGAUCGGCCCGCGUUGGAUUAGGUAGUUGGUGGGGUAAUGGCCUACCAAGCCGACGAUCCAUAGCUGGUUUGAGAGGAUGAUCAGCCACACUGGGACUGAGACACGGCCCAGACUCCUACGGGAGGCAGCAGUGGGGAAUCUUAGACAAUGGGCGCAAGCCUGAUCUAGCCAUGCCGCGUGAGCGAUGAAGGCCUUAGGGUUGUAAAGCUCUUUCGUGGGGGAAGAUAAUGACUGUACCCCAAGAAGAAGCCCCGGCUAACUACGUGCCAGCCGCCGCGGUAAGAC